GUCAAUAUCCAAUCAAAAAUCAUAGUAGGUUUGUUGUGAUAUUCACAAGACUUGCUAUGGAGAUUGAUGUGAAGUUGUCUUAAUGCAUAUUAGAUACUUUACGAUAUAUUUUGGAUAUAUUACUUUGUUGUGAUAUCCACAAGGGUAGUAUUUUUUAGAUAUGACUGUAUAAAAAUGAAAGGUCUGACUUAACUUGAAAAUACUACAGUUUAUUAUGAUAUCCAAAAGGUUGUGAGUAUUUUUAUAGGCAAAGAUUAUGUUGAGAAUUACAUAAGAUGUAAUUAGAUGGUUUUUUCCUACCUUUGAACUC
rnacentral:lncRNA from 1 species